GAUCAACGCUGGCGGCGUGCCUUACGCAUGCAAGUCGCACGGUCCCUUCGCAAGAGGGGUAGUGGCGGACGGGUGAGGAACACGUACGUGACCUGCCUACUAGUGGGGGAGUACCCUUCCGAAAGGGAGGUUAAUACCGCAUGUGGUCUCCUUGGUGCGCCAGGGAGAGUAAAGUUGCAAGGCGCUAGUAGAGGGGCGUGCGGCGGAUUAGCUGGUUGGUGGGGUAACGGCCUACCAAGGCGACGACCGUAGCUGGUCUGAGAGGACGGCCAGCCACACGGGGACUGAGACACGGCCCCGACUCCUACGGGAGGCAGCAGCGAGGAAUCUUGGGCAAUGGGCGCAAGCCUGACCCAGCGACGCCGCGUGGGGGAGUGACGG
rnacentral:rRNA from 1 species